rnacentral:rRNA from 1 species
UGGGGAGUAUUGGGCAAUGGGCGCAAGCCUGACCCAGCAACGCCGCGUGAAGGAAGACGGUCUUCGGAUUGUAAACUUCUUUAGACAGGGACGAAACAAAUGACGGUACCUGUAGAAUAAGCCACGGCUAACUACGUGCCAGCAGCCGCGGUAAUACGUAGGUGGCGAGCGUUAUCCGGAAUUACUGGGUGUAAGGGCGUGUAGGCGGCACUGUAAGUCAGAUGUGAAAUCUCCCGGCUCAACCGGGAGCGUGCAUCUGAUACUGCAAUGCUUGAGUGAUAGAGGGGAAAGCGGAAUUCCUAGUGUAGCGGUAAAAUGCGUAGAUAUUAGGAGGAACACCAGUGGCGAAGGCGGCUUUCUGGCUAUUAACUGACGCUGAGGCGCGAAAGCGUGGGGAGCAAACAGG